GAUGAACGCUGGCGGCGUGCCUAAUACAUGCAAGUCGAGCGAACAGACGAGGAGCUUGCUCCUCUGACGUUAGCGGCGGACGGGUGAGUAACACGUGGAUACCCUACCUAUAAGACUGGGAUAACUUCGGGAAACCGGAGCUAAUACCGGAUAAUAUAUUGAACCGCAUGGUUCAAUAGUGAAAGACGGUUUUGCUGUCACUUAUAGCUGGAUCCGCGCCGCAUUAGCUAGUUGGUAAGGUAACGGCUUACCAAGGCAACGAUGCGUAGCCGACCUGAGAGGGGGAUCGGCCACACUGGAACUGAGACACGGUCCAGACUCCUACGGGAGGCAGCAGUAGGGAAUCUUCCGCAAUGGGCGAAAGCCUGACGGAGCAACGCCGCGUGAGUGAUGAAGGUCUUCGGAUCGUAAAACUCUGUUAUUAGGGAAGAACAAAUGUGUAAGUAACUAUGCACGUCUUGACGGUACCUAAUCAGAAAGCCACGGCUAACUACGUG
rnacentral:rRNA from 1 species